rnacentral:piRNA from 1 species
CAUGGUGAGAGCCCUGCAGACUU